GGCAGAAUUAUCUUGCGAAUUUGGAGGUUGUGAAGAUUUAAGGAGAGAAAAACUGUGUUCUCUUUGUCUUCUGGAAAUUGGGAAUUUCCCUAACCUCUACUUGCAUUCCCUAUGUAGUUUCGCACUUCUCCAGCAGUGCGCUGUUAUCAGUCACACUGGGAACAGAGACCACAGUGAAAAAUAUCUUUCUGCCCACCCUCGGAGAUGUGUGCUGUGAUGAAGGCUCUAAAACCAGUAAGUGACUGUAAGGUUCUUUUGUGGAUUUCACAUUGCAGACAACCUAAGAACAAACUGCAGAAGUGUGCUCCUUCUUUGAAGACUGCCACAGGUGGAGAUGGAGACCUCAGAGCAUGAGAGACUCUCCAGAUGUGUAAGGUGGCAGUAUCAUGGAGUCUCCCAGAUCAGCCACAAAAUGACAUUACUUUUUCUAAUGGGUUGCUCAGAGUCAGCCCAACCCACAGCAAAAGCCAGAGAUCUGUUGUGAGCAGGCCAGCCUGACCUCUAUGUCGGAACAAGCUACCACAGCUCAACAGGUGUGACAUCCCUCCUCAAGCUGUGGGACCACAUGCCUGAACCCCACAGACCCUUUUGUCACCUUCUGAACUCUAUUUGUGAACAGUGUGAAAAGCCUGCGGCAGUAGUGUUUAGAAAAACCACACCACUCUCUAACUUUCUGUGCUGGUGAUCUACAUGGAGGCAGAACUCAAAUUCUGGCUUGGUUUUGGUGAAGAAUAUACUUUAAUUAAUUAACAUUUGUUCCUCUCCUCAAAUAAUUCUACUCCCAGCUCUCACACAUCUAGUAACAGGGAGUACCCAUCCCAGAAAUUAUAAAGCUGCUUGCCAACUCCAGGAAAAUCAGUGUGAAAUCAACAAUAUGAAGCCCUGUGGAUUGUGCUCCUGCAAUGGACCAUUUCCUCUGUGCUGGCCGUUCAGAUGCAAGAUCGCACGAGCUAAUUUAGAUAAGAAAGAACUUUACAGCAGGGCUGUACGAUAAGAGAAUCCAGAAACUAGUGCUGAGGGGAAGAGAACAGAGUCCGAAGAAGGAAAGGGUUGGAGGAAUUUCCUGUUGAAAGGAAAGACGCACACACGUAUGCAAUCAAAAUAGCAGCCAGAAACCCACAAAACGUAUGGUUUCCCCCAAAGCUGACACUCACUUUAACAGUUCCUUAAGGGACAGGAGAGAAGGAUAAAUACAUUGUAGGGAAGGAUGGUAAACCAUCACCCUACCCAAAGCCACAAAUCUGUUGCUGUUAGUGGAAAAAUAUCUAUCAGUAACAGUAGUCAUGGUGUUUUUAAGGGCUUGAUCCAAUUUAUGGCAAUUGUUGGAUAGGAAAACUUCUGUUCCAUCCAUCAGUCUGGGUGGAUAAGGGCCCACAUCCUCAGCUGCUGCCCAAAAGCUGUGUAGCUCAUGAUCGUCUGUACAGAUAUGCUUUCCCAACACAAAGCUUAGCUGCCUGCCAGCAGUUCCCUCGCUCUAAUUUUGGACUAGAGAUAGGAGAAAUAUUCCCAACAGUGUUGUUGUGGCACUGGGAUCAAAAUGAGUGUUAUCAGGGGAAAGGGUAGGAGGCAUCAGGCAGGUUUUUUUCCCACCAUCUCUCCUUUCUCCUUAUCUUUCUGUCUCACUGCCUGAAAAGUGGUAGCUAGAAUUUGUUGGUUUAAAAAAAAAAAAAAAAAAGGGAUGGGAUGGG
ensembl:lncRNA